AUUGAACGCUGGCGGCAGGCCUAACACAUGCAAGUCGAACGAGUGGCGGACGGGUGAGUAAUGUCUGGGAAACUGCCUGAUGGAGGGGGAUAACUACUGGAAACGGUAGCUAAUACCGCAUACCAUCAGAGGUGCCCAGAUGGGAUUAGCUAGUUGGUGGGGUAACGGCUAACCAAGGCGACGAUCCCUAGCUGGUCUGAGAGGUGGACCAGCCACCCUGGAACUGUGACACGGUCCAGACUCCUACGGGAGGCAGCAGUGGGGAAUAUUGCACAAGGGGCGCAAGCCUGAUACAGCCAUGCCGCGUGUAUGAAGAGGGCCUUCGGGUUGUAAAGUACUUUCAGCGGGGAGGCGUUACCCUCAGAAGAAGCACCGGCUAACUCCGUGCCAGCAGCCGCGGUAAUUC
rnacentral:rRNA from 1 species